UUGGAGCAAACUUUUGAUUCUUUGGAUCUUUAAGAAUUAAGAAUCUAAAAAUAAAGAAUUAAGAAUCUAACUUCAUCUUCAAGGUGACUCCCUUAGCAACCCUACCAAUCUAUUGAUUUAUGAUCUCACUCUUUGUUCCCUUCAUCUGCAAACACUCUGAAGCAGGAAGGCAUAAUCACUGCCUACCAUUUCCUCACUACUCACACAUUCCUGAAUGCUUUGCAAACCAGAUUUUAGUUUCAACUUUCUCCUGAAACUGCUUUUAUUGACCUCUAAGUUGCAAAUUUCACUUUCUUUUUUGGUUUCAUUUUCAUCUUACUCCAGUUUGAUGAUAAGUGAUUCUGUUGAUCCAUUGUAUUCCUGAUAUUCUUUCUUUCCAUUAUACUAUACUGCUGCUUCUAAUUCUCAGACUUCAUUCUUCUUUCAUCAGAUCUUCCCCAGAAACCCAUCCUUGGCCUUCUUUUCCUUUCUCUAUCUCUUCUCCCUUGACUAUAUGGUAUAAAAUCUUGACUUCUAUGACUUUUACAUGAUCACCUUUACAUGGACAACUCUCAACAUUUCCCUGCUAAGCUCUAAUCC
rnacentral:lncRNA from 1 species